UGGGGAAUUUUGGACAAUGGGGGCAACCCUGAUCCAGCAAUGCCGCGUGUGUGAAGAAGGCCUUCGGGUUGUAAAGCACUUUUGUCCGGAAAGAAAACGUCGUGGUUAAUACCCGUGGCGGCUGACGGUACCGGAAGAAUAAGCACCGGCUAACUACGUGCCAGCAGCCGCGGUAAUACGUAGGGUGCAAGCGUUAAUCGGAAUUACUGGGCGUAAAGCGUGCGCAGGCGGUCCGCUAAGACAGAUGUGAAAUCCCCGGGCUUAACCUGGGAACUGCAUUUGUGACUGGCGGGCUAGAGUAUGGCAGAGGGGGGUAGAAUUCCACGUGUAGCAGUGAAAUGCGUAGAGAUGUGGAGGAAUACCGAUGGCGAAGGCAGCCCCCUGGGCCAAUACUGACGCUCAUGCACGAAAGCGUGGGGAGCAAACAGGAUUAGAUACCCUGGUAGUCCACGCCCUAAACGAUGUCAACUAGUUGUCGGGUCUUCAUUGACUUGGUAACGUAGCUAACGCGUGAAGUUGACCGCCUGGGGAGUACGGUCGCAAGAUUAAAAACUCAAAGGAAUUGACGGGGUC
rnacentral:rRNA from 1 species